rnacentral:rRNA from 1 species
UUUUCUAUUUAUUAAUAUAAAUUUAAUUUAUUUUAAAUAUAAAAAAAUAUUUAUAAAAUAAUUAGACGACAAGACCCUAUUAAACUUAACUUAAGUUAAGCUGGGGCAGCUAAUAAAUUAUUAUUUUUAUUAAAAUUAUUAAAAUUUUAUCUAAUAAAAUUAAUUAAUCAAGUUACUAUAGGGAUAACAGCGUAAUAUUAAUUUAAAGUUCAUAUUAAAAUUAACUUUUGCGACCYCGAKGUUGAAUUAUAGAUCUUUAUUAACGCAAAAGUUAUAUAAGUAAGUCUGUUCSACUUUUAAUACUUUACAUGAUUUGAGUUCAAACCGGUAUAAGCCAGGUUGGUUUCUAUCUUUUUAUAAAUUUUUCUAGUACGAAAGGACAAAAAAAUUUAUUAUUAAUAUAUAUUUAGCAAAUAAAUGCAAUAGAUUUAGAAUCUAUAACUACUUUAAUUAUUUACAUUAAUUCUAUUAUUCCUAUAAUUUGUAUUCUUAUUAGAGUUGCAUUUUAUACAAUUUUAGAACGAAAAAUUCUUAGAUAUAUUCAAAUUCGAAAAGGACCUAAUAAAGUAGGAAUAAUAGGGAUUUUACAACCAUUUAGUGAUGCUAUUAAAUUAUUUAAUAAAAAUUUAAUAUCUUCUGAAUGUAUAAAUUUUUCAUUAUCAUAUAUUACUCCUGCCUUAUCUCUUAUUUUAACCUUAAUAAUUAUAUCAUUUAUUCCCUUAUAUAAAUAUUCUUCUUUUGAUAAUAAAUAUAAUAUU